rnacentral:rRNA from 1 species
UUAAGCGACUAAGCGUACACGGUGGAUGCCCUGGCAGUCAGAGGCGAUGAAGGACGUGCUAAUCUGCGAUAAGCGUCGGUAAGGUGAUAUGAACCGUUAUAACCGGCGAUUUCCGAAUGGGGAAACCCAGUGUGUUUCGACACACUAUCAUUAACUGAAUCCAUAGGUUAAUGAGGCGAACCGGGGGAACUGAAACAUCUAAGUACCCCGAGGAAAGAAAUCAACCGAGAUUCCCCAGUAGCGGCGAGCGAACGGGAGCAGCCCAGAGCCUGAAUCAGUGUGUGUGUUAGUGGAAGCGUCUGGAAAGGCGCGCGAUACAGGGUGACAGCCCGUACACAAAAUACAUGCUGUGAGCUCGAUGAGUAGGGCGGGACACGUGGUAUCCUGUCUGAAUAUGGGGACCAUCCUCCAAGGCUAAAUACUCCUGACUGACCGAUAGUGAACCAGUACCGUGAGGGAAAGGCGAAAAGAACCCCGGCGAGGGGAGUGAAAAAGAACCUGAAACCGUGUACGUACAAGCAGUGGGAGCACGCUUAGGCGUGUGACUGCGUACCUUUGUAUAAUGGGUCAGCGACUUAUAUUCUGUAGCAAGGUUAACCGAAUAGGGGAGCCGAAGGAAACCGAGUCUUAACUGGGCGUUAAGUUGCAGGGUAUAGACCCGAAACCCGGUGAUCAGCCAUGGGCAGGUUGAAGGUUGGGUAACACUAACUGGAGGACCGAACCGACUAAUGUUGAAAAAUUAGCGGAUGACUUGUGGCUGGGGUGAAAGGCCAAUCAAACCGGGAGAUAGCUGGUUCUCCCGAAAGCUAUUUAGGUAGCGCCUCGUGAAUUCAUCUCCGGGGUAGAGCACUGUUUCGGCAAGGGGGUCAUCCCGACUUACCAACCCGAUGCAAACUGCGAAUACCGGAGAAUGUUAUCACGGGAGACACACGGCGGGUGCUAACGUCCGUCGUGAAGAGGGAAACAACCCAGACCGCCAGCUAAGGUCCCAAAGUCAUGGUUAAGUGGAAACGAUGUGGGAAGGCCCAGACAGCCAGGAUGUUGGCUUAGAAGCAGCCAUCAUUUAAAGAAAGCGUAAUAGCUCACUGGUCGAGUCGGCCUGCGCGGAAGAUGUAACGGGGCUAAACCAUGCACCGAAGCUGCGGCAGCGACGCUGAUGCGUUGUUGGGUAGGGGAGCGUUCUGUAAGCCUGCGAAGGUGUGCUGUGAGGCAUGCUGGAGGUAUCAGAAGUGCGAAUGCUGACAUAAGUAACGAUAAAGCGGGUGAAAAGCCCGCUCGCCGGAAGACCAAGGGUUCCUGUCCAACGUUAAUCGGGGCAGGGUGAGUCGACCCCUAAGGCGAGGCCGAAAGGCGUAGUCGAUGGGAAACAGGUUAAUAUUCCUGUACUUGGUGUUACUGCGAAGGGGGGACGGAGAAGGCUAUGUUGGCCGGGCGACGGUUGUCCCGGUUUAAGCGUGUAGGCUGGUUUUCCAGGCAAAUCCGGAAAAUCAAGGCUGAGGCGUGAUGACGAGGCACUACGGUGCUGAAGCAACAAAUGCCCUGCUUCCAGGAAAAGCCUCUAAGCAUCAGGUAACAUCAAAUCGUACCCCAAACCGACACAGGUGGUCAGGUAGAGAAUACCAAGGCGCUUGAGAGAACUCGGGUGAAGGAACUAGGCAAAAUGGUGCCGUAACUUCGGGAGAAGGCACGCUGAUAUGUAGGUGAAGCGACUUGCUCGUGGAGCUGAAAUCAGUCGAAGAUACCAGCUGGCUGCAACUGUUUAUUAAAACACAGCACUGUGCAAACACGAAAGUGGACGUAUACGGUGUGACGCCUGCCCGGUGCCGGAAGGUUAAUUGAUGGGGUCAGCGCAAGCGAAGCUCUUGAUCGAAGCCCGGUAAACGGCGGCCGUAACUAUAACGGUCCUAAGGUAGCGAAAUUCCUUGUCGGGUAAGUUCCGACCUGCACGAAUGGCGUAAUGAUGGCGCUGUCUCCACCCGAGACUCAGUGAAAUUGAACUCGCUGUGAAGAUGCAGUGUACCCGCGGCAAGACGGAAAGACCCCGUGAACCUUUACUAUAGCUUGACACUGAACAUUGAGCCUUGAUGUAGGAUAGGUGGGAGGCUUGGAAGUGUGGACGCCAGUCUGCAUGGAGCCGACCUUGAAAUACCACCCUUUAAUGUUUGAUGUUCUAACGUUGACCCGUAAUCCGGGUUGCGGACAGUGUCUGGUGGGUAGUUUGACUGGGGCGGUCUCCUCCUAAAGAGUAACGGAGGAGCACGAAGGUUGGCUAAUCCUGGUCGGACAUCAGGAGGUUAGUGCAAUGGCAUAAGCCAGCUUGACUGCGAGCGUGACGGCGCGAGCAGGUGCGAAAGCAGGUCAUAGUGAUCCGGUGGUUCUGAAUGGAAGGGCCAUCGCUCAACGGAUAAAAGGUACUCCGGGGAUAACAGGCUGAUACCGCCCAAGAGUUCAUAUCGACGGCGGUGUUUGGCACCUCGAUGUCGGCUCAUCACAUCCUGGGGCUGAAGUAGGUCCCAAGGGUAUGGCUGUUCGCCAUUUAAAGUGGUACGCGAGCUGGGUUUAGAACGUCGUGAGACAGUUCGGUCCCUAUCUGCCGUGGGCGCUGGAGAACUGAGGGGGGCUGCUCCUAGUACGAGAGGACCGGAGUGGACGCAUCACUGGUGUUCGGGUUGUCAUGCCAAUGGCACUGCCCGGUAGCUAAAUGCGGAAGAGAUAAGUGCUGAAAGCAUCUAAGCACGAAACUUGCCCCGAGAUGAGUUCUCCCUGACCCUUUAAGGGUCCUGAAGGAACGUUGAAGACGACGACGUUGAUAGGCCGGGUGUGUAAGCGCAGCGAUGCGUUGAGCUAACCGGUACUAAUGAACCGUGAGGCUUAACCU